rnacentral:rRNA from 1 species
UACGAAGGUUGCGAGCGUUGUUCGGAAUCACUGGGCUUAAAGCGUAUGUAGGCGGGUAAGUAAGCGCUUUGUGAAAUCCCCCGGCUUAACCGGGGAAUUGCUUGGCGAACUGCUUAUCUUGAGGCAAAUAGGGGUGCAUGGAACUCUUGGUGGAGCGGUGGAAUGCGUAGAUAUCAAGAGGAACGCCAGCGGUGAAAACGGUGCACUGGAUUUGUCCUGACGCUCAGAUACGAAAGCGUGGGGAG